AAAAAAGAGAGAAAAUAAAACCAAAAACCAUUUCUUGGCUGGUUUGAAGAAAUUCUAAGGAGAUCCAAGUGAAAGCAAAGCCAAAGAAGUAGAUUAAGCUUAGUUCUAGCCUUUUUAUGGAUAAGCACAUCAAUACCUAAGACAUCACUUGUUACACGGUGAAAUAUAUUUUGGACAAAAGGUAGAGAAAGAAAUGUGUGAAUGACAUGAGGAGAACUGAAGCAUGGUCCUGACCCUGAUUUGUACAUAUGAACAUAUCGACCUUUUUGUGGGUUAUUUCAGUUAUCAGUGAGAUGUUUGUAAUAAAGUGUGAAGUUAUGUUUUGAAAACAAAUUGGGUUAUUUAAUACUUAUGUAUAAUAUGUUUGAGACCCACUUUAUGUUUAAUGUAAAUAAUGUGAAAUAA